UUCGCUUCCUUCUUCUUCCUCCUCCUCUUGUUUUUCCUUCUCCCUCUUCCUUCUCAACCUUUGCAUUUCAAUCUUGCUUAACUGGAGCAACAGUUUGGGGUCGCGGGCCCCGGUCUAUGCAGCCUGAACAGAAAACCUUGUGAGACAGAGAAUGUGAAGUAGAAAGAGUUAAAGGAAGACUACCCUCAAAGCCCUGAACGAGACUUCUAUCAGCUCUUAUUGUGUUGAAUCAUGAACAAGUUAAACCCCAUGUACCCCCAAGUCACAGCCCCAACCAAGUCCAGAAGAAACUGGUGCUAUUUACUCUAAGUAAAUGCUUGAAACUCUUCGACAAGGCUGAGAGAAAGAAGAUUGAGAUGUUUCCUUUUGGAUGCUAACAAAAGAGAAAACUAUUAUCACCCUUUUCUCCCCAUUCAGUAAACUCUUACCUCUAGGAUCAAAUAGAAAACCCUCUCUUUGGUGAUUAGAGCCUUUCAUUACCUGUCCCCUUCUUACUUUUCUAGUCUUCAUAUACUUACUCCCCUCUACAUACUCCAUGAUCCAGUAAUGCCGGCCUCCUUGCUCAUCCUACAAGACACUGCAUCUCCCAAGUCGGUGUAUCUUCACUGGCCGUCCUGCAGGCCUGGAACGUUCUCCCUCCUCGUCUCUAACUCUUGGCUUAUUUCCUGAAAGAAGCCAAUCCUCUUUACUACUAUCAUAUUACAUCUGAGAUUAUCCAAGUUAUCUUCAGACACUGAAGUUUCCAAAUUACAUGUGAGAAAAUAGAAGACAAAAAAUUGCCCCUCAAUCUACAGAAUAAAAAUUCAAGGCUAUGAUGAAACCAUUCUGAUGAGGUCUGCAUCCCUAGGUUCUAUGGAAGAUACAAAAAAGGGAGAAAAGAAAGAAAAAAGACACUGUGAUUAUCAUAAAGGAACUUACAAACUCUUCAGGAGUGCUUACAGAGUGCCUGGCACACAUCUAGCGCUUAAUUAAUAUUUAUUGACUAACUGUUGAAUGAAUGGACUUUUAAAACUCCAGAUAUUCCUGUCUCAGGAAUGACCUCAUCUAAUGAAUUGGACAAGGAUAUGGAUUUUAGGAGAAGAGGGUUCUGCCCAGAGUGGAAGCAA